UACGAAGGGUGCAAGCGUUACUCGGAAUUACUGGGCGUAAAGCGUGCGUAGGUGGUCUGUUAAGUCUGAUGUGAAAGCCCUGGGCUCAACCUGGGAAUUGCAUUGGAUACUGGCAGGCUAGAGUGCGGUAGAGGAUGGCGGAAUUCCCGGUGUAGCAGUGAAAUGCGUAGAUAUCGAGAGGAACACCUGCGGCGAAGGCGGGUUGCUGGGCCGAUACUGACGCUGAGGAGCGAAAGCGUGGGGAGCGAACAGG
rnacentral:rRNA from 1 species